rnacentral:rRNA from 1 species
CACGGAUCCAGAGUUUGAUUAUGGCUCAGAUUGAACGCUGGCGGCAGGCUUAACACAUGCAAGUCGAGCGGUAACAGGAGAAGCUUGCUUCUCGCUGACGAGCGGCGGACGGGUGAGUAAUACUUAGGAAUCUGCCCAGUAGUGGGGGAUAGCUCGGGGAAACUCGAAUUAAUACCGCAUACACCCUACGGGGAAAAGGGGGCGCUUGCGCUCUCGCUAUUGGAUGAGCCUAAGUCGGAUUAGCUAGUUGGUGGGGUAAAGGCCUACCAAGGCGACGAUCUGUAGCUGGUCUGAGAGGAUGAUCAGCCACACCGGGACUGAGACACGGCCCGGACUCCUACGGGAGGCAGCAGUGGGGAAUAUUGGACAAUGGGGGCAACCCUGAUCCAGCCAUGCCGCGUGUGUGAAGAAGGCCUUUUGGUUGUAAAGCACUUUAAGCAGUGAAGAAGACCUAACGGUUAAUACCCGUUAGCGAUGACAUUAGCUGCAGAAUAAGCACCGGCUAACUCUGUGCCAGCAGCCGCGGUAAUACAGAGGGUGCAAGCGUUAAUCGGAAUUACUGGGCGUAAAGCGAGCGUAGGUGGCUUGAUAAGUCAGAUGUGAAAUCCCCGGGCUUAACCUGGGAACUGCAUCUGAUACUGUCAGGCUAGAGUAGGUGAGAGGGAGGUAGAAUUUCAGGUGUAGCGGUGAAAUGCGUAGAGAUCUGAAGGAAUACCGAUGGCGAAGGCAGCCUCCUGGCAUCAUACUGACACUGAGGUUCGAAAGCGUGGGUAGCAAACAGGAUUAGAUACCCUGGUAGUCCACGCCGUAAACGAUGUCUACUAGUCGUUGGGGAACUUGAUUCCUUAGUGACGCAGCUAACGCAAUAAGUAGACCGCCUGGGGAGUACGGCCGCAAGGUUAAAACUCAAAUGAAUUGACGGGGGCCCGCACAAGCGGUGGAGCAUGUGGUUUAAUUCGAUGCAACGCGAAGAACCUUACCUGGUCUUGACAUAUCUAGAAUCCUGCAGAGAUGCGGGAGUGCCUUCGGGAAUUAGAAUACAGGUGCUGCAUGGCUGUCGUCAGCUCGUGUCGUGAGAUGUUGGGUUAAGUCCCGCAACGAGCGCAACCCUUUUCCUUAGUUACCAGCGGUUUGGCCGGGGACUCUAAGGAUACUGCCAGUGACAAACUGGAGGAAGGCGGGGACGACGUCAAGUCAUCAUGGCCCUUACGACCAGGGCUACGCACGUGCUACAAUGGUAGGUACAGAGGGCAGCUACACAGCGAUGUGAUGCGAAUCUCAAAAAGCCUAUCGUAGUCCAGAUUGGAGUCUGCAACUCGACUCCAUGAAGUAGGAAUCGCUAGUAAUCGCGGAUCAGAAUGCCGCGGUGAAUACGUUCCCGGGCCUUGUACACACCGCCCGUCACACCAUGGGAGUUGAUUGCACCAGAAGUGGGUAGCCUAACUUUUAGAGGGCGCUCACCACGGUGUGGUUGAUGACUGGGGUGAAGUCGUAACAAGGUAGCCGUAAGCUUCACCACGGAUCCAGAGUUUGAUUAUGGCUCAGAUUGAACGCUGGCGGCAGGCUUAACACAUGCAAGUCGAGCGGUAACAGGAGAAGCUUGCUUCUCGCUGACGAGCGGCGGACGGGUGAGUAAUACUUAGGAAUCUGCCCAGUAGUGGGGGAUAGCUCGGGGAAACUCGAAUUAAUACCGCAUACACCCUACGGGGAAAAGGGGGCGCUUGCGCUCUCGCUAUUGGAUGAGCCUAAGUCGGAUUAGCUAGUUGGUGGGGUAAAGGCCUACCAAGGCGACGAUCUGUAGCUGGUCUGAGAGGAUGAUCAGCCACACCGGGACUGAGACACGGCCCGGACUCCUACGGGAGGCAGCAGUGGGGAAUAUUGGACAAUGGGGGCAACCCUGAUCCAGCCAUGCCGCGUGUGUGAAGAAGGCCUUUUGGUUGUAAAGCACUUUAAGCAGUGAAGAAGACCUAACGGUUAAUACCCGUUAGCGAUGACAUUAGCUGCAGAAUAAGCACCGGCUAACUCUGUGCCAGCAGCCGCGGUAAUACAGAGGGUGCAAGCGUUAAUCGGAAUUACUGGGCGUAAAGCGAGCGUAGGUGGCUUGAUAAGUCAGAUGUGAAAUCCCCGGGCUUAACCUGGGAACUGCAUCUGAUACUGUCAGGCUAGAGUAGGUGAGAGGGAGGUAGAAUUUCAGGUGUAGCGGUGAAAUGCGUAGAGAUCUGAAGGAAUACCGAUGGCGAAGGCAGCCUCCUGGCAUCAUACUGACACUGAGGUUCGAAAGCGUGGGUAGCAAACAGGAUUAGAUACCCUGGUAGUCCACGCCGUAAACGAUGUCUACUAGUCGUUGGGGAACUUGAUUCCUUAGUGACGCAGCUAACGCAAUAAGUAGACCGCCUGGGGAGUACGGCCGCAAGGUUAAAACUCAAAUGAAUUGACGGGGGCCCGCACAAGCGGUGGAGCAUGUGGUUUAAUUCGAUGCAACGCGAAGAACCUUACCUGGUCUUGACAUAUCUAGAAUCCUGCAGAGAUGCGGGAGUGCCUUCGGGAAUUAGAAUACAGGUGCUGCAUGGCUGUCGUCAGCUCGUGUCGUGAGAUGUUGGGUUAAGUCCCGCAACGAGCGCAACCCUUUUCCUUAGUUACCAGCGGUUUGGCCGGGGACUCUAAGGAUACUGCCAGUGACAAACUGGAGGAAGGCGGGGACGACGUCAAGUCAUCAUGGCCCUUACGACCAGGGCUACGCACGUGCUACAAUGGUAGGUACAGAGGGCAGCUACACAGCGAUGUGAUGCGAAUCUCAAAAAGCCUAUCGUAGUCCAGAUUGGAGUCUGCAACUCGACUCCAUGAAGUAGGAAUCGCUAGUAAUCGCGGAUCAGAAUGCCGCGGUGAAUACGUUCCCGGGCCUUGUACACACCGCCCGUCACACCAUGGGAGUUGAUUGCACCAGAAGUGGGUAGCCUAACUUUUAGAGGGCGCUCACCACGGUGUGGUUGAUGACUGGGGUGAAGUCGUAACAAGGUAGCCGUAAGCUUCAC